UGGGGAAUUUUGGACAAUGGGCGCAAGCCUGAUCCAGCCAUGCCGCGUGAGUGAUGAAGGCCUUAGGGUUGUAAAGCUCUUUCACCGGUGAAGAUAAUGACGGUAACCGGAGAAGAAGCCCCGGCUAACUUCGUGCCAGCAGCCGCGGUAAUACGAAGGGGGCUAGCGUUGUUCGGAUUUACUGGGCGUAAAGCGCACGUAGGCGGACUUUUAAGUCAGGGGUGAAAUCCCGGGGCUCAACCCCGGAACUGCCUUUGAUACUGGAAGUCUUGAGUAUGGUAGAGGUGGGUGAAAUUCCGAGUGUGGAGGUGAAAUUCGUAGAUAUUCGGAGGAAAACCAGUGGCGAGGGCGGCUCACUGGUCCAUUACUGACGCUGAGGUGCGAAAGCGUGGGGAGCAAACAGG
rnacentral:rRNA from 1 species